rnacentral:lncRNA from 1 species
UAUAGUUGAAGACUUUCAAUUACACUAAAACUCUUAUAGAAUUGUUAUCAUAUGCUGAUGUUUAGAUUUACUUUGUAGGGCCCAAAUUUUUGCCCGGCCCGCUAAAGUAACCAAACAAAAACAAAAUGGUUCAGUCCAGGUUUGUUACAAGCCCAAUAGGCCCAACAGACCAACUAACAACCCAAAACCCAAUAACCCAACAGCCCAAAAAUAGAAAAACACCCAAAACCCUAAAACUAAACAGCUUCCCCAGACCCCAGCCGCCGCACGUCUCGGAGCCGAUUUCCUUCACGCAAGCUGCUUCUCCACGAGCUCCUGCAAACAUGGAUUAGAAGAGUUCAGUAGAGAAAAAUAUGUAAAAUAACAAAAAUGAUUCGGGUUAUAUAAGGGCCAAUGUUUUUGUAUUUGAGGGGAGGACAGAGUUCUUAGAAUACAAAAGGGUAAUAAAAUCAAAGGUGAUUGCGAUUCCAUUUUUUUCUUUUUAUGUUCAUUUUCUUUUUUAACAAAAAUAGCAAUAGAGAAAGAGGGGAUUCUUACCUACGUGGUCUUGCCGUCGAAAACCUAGGCCUACUUCGCUUGGAUCGGAGCUGGAAUGGCGAGGAUUUGAAUCGGCCGAUUGGCCGAGAACGGCGGGGCCUUAGAAGCUAGGGACGAAACCCUAGCAGAGGGUGUUUAGUUUUUUUUU